GUUAUUGACAACGAGAGAGCACGGCGAGUAGUCUGAUUGAGAGAGGUGACCUGAGCUGCAGCACUGCAACAAGUGUUAUAGUAACUACCAGCAGUUUUCUGCUUGACCGGCAUGUUUAAGCCAGCCAAACUGGUCAAAUUAAAAAGUCAUCUUCAAAUCCACUUCAACAAGGCAGUUGUCUGUGGAGUGUGACAUUCCAGUCGUACGGAGACGGUGGACUCUUAUACUUCCGGAGAACUUUGGAGAUUUCUCUGAAAGUGCAGAAACCCUACAAGAG